GGAAAAAAAACAGGUUGUCUACCCAAAAAUAAAAUACUAUAUUCUGUCUAUAGCUUAAACCCUAAACUAGAGAGCAGGGGAGCAUACAUAGCCUCUUUUUUGAACCCGCCAAUUCUACGGAGGUGAAGAAUUACUAGUUGUAACCGAUCUGCUAAUAUCUUCCGAUUCGACAUGCAUGAGGAAUUCCCUCUUUUUAAUCGGAUAGGUUUCGCUUGCCUUCGUCUUCUCCUGUUCAAAAUGGGUAAUAUCCUGUCACAUUGUUUAAAUCUAUCUUUCUGAAGUUAACA
rnacentral:misc_RNA from 1 species